UGGGGAAUAUUGCACAAUGGGGGGAAACCCUGAUGCAGCGAUGCCGCGUGGAGGAAGAAGGUCUUCGGAUUGUAAACUCCUGUCCUAGGGGACGAUAAUGACGGUACCCUUGGAGGAAGCUCCGGCUAACUACGUGCCAGCAGCCGCGGUAAUACGUAGGGAGCGAGCGUUGUCCGGAAUUACUGGGUGUAAAGGGAGCGUAGGCGGGACGGUAAGUCAGAUGUGAAAUGUACGGGCUCAACCUGUGAACUGCAUUUGAAACUGCUGUUCUUGAGUGAAGUAGAGGUAAGCGGAAUUCCUAGUGUAGCGGUGAAAUGCGUAGAUAUUAGGAGGAACAUCGGUGGCGAAGGCGGCUUACUGGGGCUUUUACUGACGCUGAGGCUCGAAAGCGUGGGGAGCAAACAGGAUUAGAUACCCUGGUAGU
rnacentral:rRNA from 1 species